UACGUAGGGUGCAAGCGUUAUCCGGAAUUAUUGGGCGUAAAGAGCUCGUAGGCGGUUUGUCGCGUCUGCUGUGAAAACUGGAGGCUCAACCUCCGGCCCUGCAGUGGGUACGGGCAAACUAGAGUGCGGUAGGGGAGAUUGGAAUUCCUGGUGUAGCGGUGGAAUGCGCAGAUAUCAGGAGGAACACCGAUGGCGAAGGCAGAUCUCUGGGCCGUAACUGACGCUGAGGAGCGAAAGCAUGGGGAGCGAACAGG
rnacentral:rRNA from 1 species